rnacentral:rRNA from 1 species
UACAGAGGGUGCAAGCGUUAAUCGGAAUUACUGGGCGUAAAGCGUGCGUAGACGGUUGCGUAAGUCAGAUGUGAAAGCCCCGGGCUCAACCUGGGAAUUGCAUUUGAGACUGCGUAGCUAGGGUGCGGAAGAGGGAAGCGGAAUUUCCGGUGUAGCGGUGAAAUGCGUAGAGAUCGGGAGGAACACCAGAGGCGAAGGCGGCGAACUGGACAGGCACUGACACUCAACUACGAAAGCGUGGGGAGCAAACAGG